rnacentral:rRNA from 1 species
AGAGUUUGAUCCUGGCUCAGGACGAACGCUGGCGGCGUGCCUAACACAUGCAAGUCGAGCGAGUGGAUCUCCUUCGGGAGUGAAGCUAGCGGCGGACGGGUGAGUAACACGUGGGCAACCUGCCUCAUAGAGGGGAAUAGCCUUUCGAAAGGAAGAUUAAUACCGCAUAAGAUUGUAGCUUCGCAUGAAGUAGCAAUUAAAGGAGCAAUCCGCUAUGAGAUGGGCCCGCGGCGCAUUAGCUAGUUGGUGAGGUAACGGCUCACCAAGGCGACGAUGCGUAGCCGACCUGAGAGGGUGAUCGGCCACAUUGGGACUGAGACACGGCCCAGACUCCUACGGGAGGCAGCAGUGGGGAAUAUUGCACAAUGGGGGAAACCCUGAUGCAGCAACGCCGCGUGAGUGAUGACGGCCUUCGGGUUGUAAAGCUCUGUCUUCAGGGACGAUAAUGACGGUACCUGAGGAGGAAGCCACGGCUAACUACGUGCCAGCAGCCGCGGUAAUACGUAGGUGGCAAGCGUUGUCCGGAUUUACUGGGCGUAAAGGGAGCGUAGGCGGACUUUUAAGUGAGAUGUGAAAUACCCGGGCUCAACUUGGGUGCUGCAUUUCAAACUGGAAGUCUAGAGUGCAGGAGAGGAGGAUGGAAUUCCUAGUGUAGCGGUGAAAUGCGUAGAGAUUAGGAAGAACACCAGUGGCGAAGGCGAUUCUCUGGACUGUAACUGACGCUGAGGCUCGAAAGCGUGGGGAGCAAACAGGAUUAGAUACCCAGGUAGUCCACGCGGUAAACGAUGGAUGCUCGCUGUUUGCGUCUGACGUAAGCGGCCAAGCGAAAGCGUUAAGCAUCCCACCUGGGGAGUACGCCGGCAACGGUGAAACUCAAAGGAAUUGACGGGGGCCCGCACAAGCGGAGGAACAUGUGGUUUAAUUCGAUGAUACGCGAGGAACCUUACCCGGGCUUGAACUGUAGGCGAACGAUUCAGAGAUGAAGAGGCCCUUCGGGGCGCCUAUGGAGGUGCUGCAUGGUUGUCGCCAGCUCGCGCCGUGAGGUGUCGGCUUAAGUGCCAUAACGAGCGCAACCCUUGUUCGUAGUUGCCAUCGGUUAAAGCCGGGCACUCUGCGAAGACUGCCUCCGUAAGGAGUGAGGAAGGUGGGGAUGACGUCAAAUCAGCACGGCCCUUACGUCCGGGGCUACACACGUGUUACAAUGGCAUGUACAGAAAGCUGGGUGUAUGCAAAUACGCUCGAAUCCCUAAAACAUGUCUCAGUUCGGACUGGGGUCUGCAGCCCGACCCCACGAAGCUGGAUUCGCUAGUAAUCGCGCAUCAGCCAUGGCGCGGUGAAUACGUUCCCGGGCCUUGUACACACCGCCCGUCAAGCCAUGAAAGCCGGGGGCGCCUAAAGUCCGUGACCGCGAGG